GUCAUACUUAAACAGAAUGAAAUGAACUUAUGAAUGUGAACUUUUGUCUUUUCAGGUGUGAAGGACUUGUCAGCUGUCUAGGUCGUUGGGGAACUGCCACUGGUAUGUGGUGAGGAGGUCUGCAUGGUUGUGGAUGAGACCCAGUCACUAGACGAGGCCUUUUCUGCUGACCAGGUGUCAAAUGGGGUUCCCUGGUGCCAGCCUAUAGGACAUACUUUGGGGAUGGGAAGAUCUUCAGUUUCCAGAGUUGGCUCUGACUGAGGCAGGACCAGUGGAGGUUCUGCUACCAGAUAUAGUUCUUUCCAAGGUUGCAUGUUGACUGCAACAGACUACUAACACAGGUGUUGGAUGCCACAGCUGACACUGCUCUAAAGAGUGAUCUGCAGUUGGGAGAGCUGAUAGUUUGUUUUCAGUUUUGUACAUAUCUUAAUGUUAUGACAUGUUUUAAAAUCUGAAUAAAUACCAUUUUUUAUAUACGUUAUGAUUUAAUUGCGUGCGUAGGCGGCAUUGUGGGAACGAGGGCGGGACGCGCGUUUUUUUUUCCAUUGCUGUGGUGGAUUUUUGGAAGGUGUUUAUUUUUGUAGGUUUUUUGUUCGGAGGCAGUUGGUUUUUGUUUGGAGAUGGUUUGCUUCUGUU
rnacentral:lncRNA from 1 species